ensembl:lncRNA
UAGUUUUUAAAAUGACCUAUUUCCUCGAAUCUACUACAUUAUAUAUACAUAUCUUUAAUUUGUGUUUUUAUGAACCUUAAGAUAUUGUUGAGGUACACUGGCUUAAUAUAUAUAUAUAUUCACUUUAAAUUUUACUUUUUAACAUUCCUAUUCUGCGCUAGAUGGCACUCUGAAUUUAAGCUGUAAUGUGUGCUGUUGUAGUAGGCGCUUGACGGGGAUACGUGCUGUACGGGAUAGGUCUCUCCCUAAGCAUAGUGAAAGGGUGCUGUUGUGUUCAGACAGACUGUCCUUGCUAACGAAGUAAACAAGAUAAGAAGGCGAAGGAAUGAGAAAACAAUAGGAGCCAAAUAAGGAAUUGUGGUAAGGGGUUAAGAUCCAGUACGGACAAAUCAGGACAGGGCACGAUAGCUUAAGUAAAGGUAUAUAAGCUGUGCUUAGUAGUGAGUAGACGCCAUUUUACUGCUCAUCAUAUUGUUGUGCGUCUGCAGUCAUUUAGCCCUGAUCAGGUAAUUGGCCAGUGUGCACAAGAGAGCUAACACAGGAGGCUAACAUCACAGUUGCAGAAGGCAACAAAUGGUGCCCCGUGUGAGGCAGAAGAUUGUGUUUGAUGCCCUUUGUGCAAAUACCAGAGCUGGGGUGAUGACAGCCUGACUAGCCCGCAGCGGCAGGGAGCCCUGCAGAAGACCGAGGCGAUGGCGGUAUUGCGCACAAGUGUAGCCUGCAGCACGGAAACCUGAGGUGAUGGCAGGGCGCUUGCAGAAGACUGAGGUGAUGGUGGUAUUGAUUGCAAGUGUAGCCUGCAGACGAUUGGGGUGAUGCCCUGCAGAAGAUCGUGGUGACGACGAUAGUGCCGGCUGGCAAGUAGAACCUGUGUUGCGGUGUGGUCUGGGGAGGAUGACAGGACGCCCACGGAGACCCAUGGUGACGGCGGUCUCCCGAGGUGACAGCAAAGAGUUGACCAUGGAACAUGUUCUUAAGGUAUUGCUUCAGUUUUGUAAAGAUUACUUUGGCAAGAAUGGUCCUUCUAAGAAGGAUAUCCACGCAGUUAUUUCCUGGUUAGAGUGGGAGGGGGAGUUUAAAGCCCCCCAAGAGAUCCUUGAUCACCGGAGGUGGGAUGAUCUCACCUCUGCGUUCGCGCAACAUAUUAUGAGAGCUCAGGAGGGCGGGUCUGAGUUAAAAACUUGGGGUCUGAUACUGGGGGCAUUGAAAGCAGCCAGAGUGGAGGGAAAGGUAUUGGUGGAGGCUCGAUACCUUUUGGGUCUUGGCGGUGGAGGCAAGACACUGGACCCAGGGGGGUCCGAUGGGGGCUCGGGAGCAGUUUCUUGCAGGGGCCGAGAGGAGACGGAGCCGCCAAUGACCGUUGGCGAGAUGGCACCGGCUGAGCCGACUGCACUCAGUUCAAAAGAAGACAAACAACAAGAGAGCGAAUGUUCGUUGUCUCAUCCCCCGCCCCCGUAUCCGGACCCCUCAGGCGAACGUUAAAGAACAUAAAGGAAAGAAUCAGACAACUUACAAUAUUCUUAGAUACUCCCACUGAAAUUCAAAAGCUUUUUUAAUCUAAAAAAAGCAGAGCGUUAAAUGCUAUUAAAAUGCUUGUUACAAUAUUUAAAGAUUGCUUACUGUACAAAAUUAAAAAACUUUAGGUCUUAAAUUUGGAUGUAACCGCUAACCUAUGUUGUAAAAAUAGUGAGAUCUUUGUAGAAUUCUUAGUGCUGUAUAUCUGCAAUUCACAUUUAACAUUAAAAAAAAAAAAAAAAAAAAAAAUCUUUGGCAGUUAGUUUUAAAUCAAGGUACUAUAAUUGAAAAUGAGCUUUGGUUGUAUAACUUACAUGAGAAUACUAAAACUGUAAUAAUAUAUUGUUCUGAAAACAAUAAAAAGAACAAUACCCUAAAACCCUCUGUUACCGCCGGCAACCACCAUGGUCCCAAGCCGCACCAUCAUGGGCUAGCAAUCAGAGCUUGCUGGGACCAUAGCAACACAGACACCAAUAUGGGGAUGUAGCAAAAUGGCGUUUAUUCAGUAAUAGACACAGCUUAUAUACCUUACUUGAGCAAUUGUGUACUGUCCUGAUUCGUCCAUACUGGAUCUUAGCCCCUUACCACAAUUCCUUAUUGGCUCCAAUCGUUUCCUCAUUCCUUUGCCUUCUUCUUAUCUUGUUUACUCGUUAGCAAGGAUGGUCUGUCUUUGCACAACAGCACCCUUUCACCAUGCUUAGGGAGAGGCCUAUCCCAUACAGCAUGUAUCCCCACCAACGCACCUACUACAACAAACCCUCAAACAUACUACACCUAUCACAAGAUCAGCUCUCUGUCUUCUACUAUUCUGCAGGAGAUAAUUAAAUAUACUUUUUUACUCUGUAAAUGCUACUGAUGUGUAAGCCUUAUGGUAACUGCUGCUGAUUGUCUGCAAUAAUGUUUAGUUUACGUUCUCAGCUUUAGGAAUAUCCCAUUAUCUGGGACUUUCAAAUAAAUAAACAAGAAACGUGAAAGUUAAAUAAUUUCAAAUGGAAGGUUGGCUACCAGAUUUUGUUAUUUGAAUACUAUGCAUAAGAAAAAUCUGAAGAACAGCUGAACAACAAUGCAUAUCUUAGAAUAAGAGUUUAAAGUUAUCUGGUAAGGGAAAAUGGUCGUAUGUCAGAGUUAACUGAAAAUAAAUUUUGAAAUCCCUGUGUGCUCAGCCUAGCUCUUCAUUAAUUCAGCUUCUACUCACGAAUACUUAUCUCAGACUUUCAGAUAUUCAUCAAAACUAGGUUCCAGUCACAACUACAACUAGCUUCUACAAAAUAACUAUUCCACUAGCUUCUACAGCAUAACUAUAGCACUGUUAUGUUUCAGUCUCACUUUGUAUAUAGAAUACUGUUCUCCCUCUCUCUAUAUAUAAAUGUAUCAUUUCAUAAUGCAUUGUAACAUUCCAUGCACUCUAUUAUCUGGUACUUGUUAAUAAAUUAAUUCUUAUAUGCAAAGAAGUAUGUCUUAUGUUAUUGAAAGACAAACUUUCUCAGAAUGAUAGAGAUUAUAUUCUAAAUCGAGUAAAUUAGCUUUAAUACCCCAGCAGCUAAACAAAAAUUAAUUUAGUGAGUAGCCAAUGUGCAUUAGUUAUUCUUUUGCUAUAUUAGGAUCAUAAUAACUUUUCCAGUAGUCCAGGGUAAAAUGCACUGUUGUUAAUGGUCUUCAGUACUUACUUUUGGUUUUUUAUUUUCCUAGCACUUGUGAAGAACUGUUCUUCUGAUAAAUGAUUCACUGCAAACCUAGGGGCUUGCUGUCCCUCUGUAAGAGUAAAUCAAUUUUAGAACACAGUAAAAAGUUCCUUUUGUAUUGAUUCUCUAAAUAAAAAAGAUUGUUCAAAUGUAAUCACUUAUUAGCAAGCUAUAUUUUUAUUUAUAUAUAUUUUUAAUAUAUAAAAUAGUGUGUAGUCUAUAUUUUAUAUAAAAUAGACUAUAGUCUAUAUUUUUAAUUAUAAUUAUAUAUAGUAUUAUAAUAAAUGUAAUGAAUGUAACGUAAACUAAUGUGAUGUAAUGUGAUGUAACGUAAUGUAACGUAAUAUAAUGUAAUAGCGUGAAUAAACUGCAUUCAGAAUUUGAGCUAGGUCAUGGAGGUCUAGCUUCAGUAGUUCUGCAUGCUGAAGUAUACCCAAUUGUGGAAAUCAUAGACAAAUACAUUUUGACAUUUGUGCUCUACUCAAACUCAUGGA